GCACACAAAAACGAAUUUACCCUGACUCUUAAUCAGGGUGUCCAGGGUUCGAGCCCCUGAAGGUGUACCA
rnacentral:tRNA from 1 species